rnacentral:lncRNA from 1 species
GAUUUUGUUGGUUGUUGCUCCAUGAGAAAUUAGGAUGAUUCUUAUUUCCUUGAUUGUAUGUGUUCUGAUAUGUGCUUUGAGGAAUUCUGUUGUAAUUACCGAUGAACUGCACAGCUGUUGGAUUAAUUGCACAUUGCUCCGUUGGGUGUUCUCCUGCGCACAACUCACAUACUAUUGCCACUUGCGGUGCUUGCUGUGUUUGUUGUGUUUGUGCUGCUACCACUUGC